rnacentral:rRNA from 1 species
CAGCAGCCGCGGUAAUACGUAGGGUGCAAGCGUUAAUCGGAAUUACUGGGCGUAAAGCGUGCGUAGGCGGUUUGUUAAGUCUGUUGUGAAAUCCCCGGGCUCAACCUGGGAAUGGCAAUGGAUACUGGCAAGCUAGAGUGUGUCAGAGGAUGGUGGAAUUCCCGGUGUAGCGGUGAAAUGCGUAGAGAUCGGGAGGAACAUCAGUGGCGAAGGCGGCCAUCUGGGACAACACUGACGCUGAGGCACGAAAGCGUGGGGAGCAAACAGGAUUAGAUACCCCCGUAGUCCCUGUCUCUUAUAC